CCUACGUGUGGCAGCAGUGGGGAAUAUUGCGCAAUGGGCGAAAGCCUGACGCAGCGACGCCGCGUGAGGGAUGAAGGUCUUCGGAUCGUAAACCUCUGUCAGCAGGGAAGAACGGUCACUGUGCUAAUCAGCAGUGAAUUGACGGUACCUGCAAAGGAAGCACCGGCUAACUCCGUGCCAGCAGCCGCGGUAAUACGGAGGGUGCGAGCGUUAAUCGGAAUUACUGGGCGUAAAGCGCUCGUAGGCGGUAUGUCAAGUCAAGGGUGAAAUCCCCGCGCUCAACGUGGGAACUGCCUGUGAAACUGACAAACUGGAGUGUGUGAGAGGAUAGUGGAAUUCCAGGUGUAGGAGUGAAAUCCGUAGAUAUCUGGAGGAACAUCAGUGGUGAAGGCGACUAUCUGGCACAUAACUGACGCUGAGGAGCGAAAGCGUGGGUAGCAAACAGGAUUAGAUACCCUAGUAGUC
rnacentral:rRNA from 1 species